CCCAGCAUUUCUAGCACAGGGAUUAUUUUAAAUUAGGACCAGGCCUUAGUUUAAUUAGGACAUUUAAGACGUUUUCACAAACGUGGUAUAAAAAACAUCACUUGACACUGACACUGGUGUAUUUUACGAUGUUUUCAGUUUUGCAGAUCAACCAUCUCCUUUAUUCUAGCACUAGUCUUAAACCCUGCACGUGAAACCACCCCAAAGUAUUAUAUUUGACCCAACAAUGGGUUAAAACAACACAGCAUAGGUUAAUUUAUAACCCCCAAAUUAAAUGUGGUGUUUUUAAUACAGCUACUGUAUAUCAGAAGACCAAGAAGUGGUUGAGGCUACUUUUCAUUUUAAGAUUUUGUAACAUUGCUGGAAAAGUUCCCUAUAAGGUCUUCUGAUUCUGCUGUAAGGGUUAUACUACAGGAAGGUAUACUAUGACAGAAUUGUACUGUCAAAGCUGUUGAUCCAAUUAGAAAUUUGGAAAAUGCUGAUGCAAAUACUCCACACCAUUUAAUGGAAAGCAUGUGACGAGGAAGUCGUAAAUCUGGAUUAUAAACAAAGAGCGAGAAAAUUGCCUUGCAUGUUACAUCCUUUGGAAAAGGUCAUUCUAAAAACGGCUUUAUUUGCUGUGUGGUUUGAGCGGCCACAGGACCACAGCUGGAUGUCACUCUUGAUGUCAGAAAGUCUACAAUCUAACAGCACCUGCAAUGCCACAAGCUAUCUGGCAAGAUUUUAAGAAGGAAAAUGUCUACUCUCAUCCAAAAAUAACAACCCUCGUUGCAACCCUUAAUGACAUUGGGUUUUUAUGGCCACUUAAAAACUAAAUAAAAAGUUGCGUUUGGCACACACAGAUAGGUUGUCAUAUUUUGGCGGUUUUUCUCCCAGAGUACCUACACUCUAAAAAAUGCUGGGUUAUUUGUUUAACCCAACAGCUGGGUUGAGCCUGUUGGGUCAUUUUGUUGGGUUAUUUUCUUAGUGUUGGGUCAUUUUUUGAGUAACCCAAACGCUGGGUUACCAGUCGGGUCCAAUUGAGUGACAGUUGAGAGAGUAAACCCCUCCCACUCCUCUACGCAUCAGACAAACUUUACCUUCGCGGGCAUUUUGAUCCACUUCAUCUCGGAAAGCUGUUAUUCGGAGAAUAAAAGCGUGCAGAAUAACAGCUAAUAUUAAUGGAUCAUUCUAUUCAAGAGAAUGUCAACUGGAACUUGGAUGUUUUCAUAACAGGCUUAAAGAUGAACAAAUUGAUAAAGAAACCCUCCUGCUGGACAUCCAAUUCCAAAAGUGCACGCCACACUGUUGUCUACAACUCCCAGGAAAAGAAUCCUCUUUAGUAAGACUGCUCCGUGGAUAUUUUAGGUUAAGCAGUGCUGAAACCGAACGAACUAACACUAUUUAAAAUGUUUUGUGAGUUUA